CCCCUUUCAGGGUCAUACCUGGAGAGUUGCCAGUACUCUACCAGUUUUGACGAUAGGAGGGGGAGUCAAGCAGAGCCAUAACUGUUCCAUUCCUAGCUUGGGCAGUGGCUAGCCAGUGGAAGGCAAUCUGCUUCAAGU